rnacentral:rRNA from 1 species
GAUGAACGCUGGCGGCGUGCCUAAUACAUGCAAGUCGAGCGAACGGACGAGGAUCUUUCUCCUCUUACGUUGCCGGCGGGCGGGUGAGGCACACGUAGAUAACCUAUCGUUAAGGCUGACGUAACUUCACGGACCCGGAUCUAACAUCCGAUCAGAUAGUGAACCUCAUGGUUCAUUAGACAUAGCGGGUUUUGCUGUCACUUGUAGAUGUUACCUCGUUGCAGUAGCUAGUUGGUAAGGUAACGGCCUACCAAGGCAACGAUGCGUAGCCGACCUGAGAGGGUGAUCGGCCACACUGGAACUGAGACACGGUCCAGACUCCUACGGGAGGCAGCAGUAGGGAAUCUUCCGCAAUGGGCGAAAGCCUGACGGAGCAACGCCGCGUGAGUGAUGAAGGUCUUCGGAUCGUAAAACUCUGUUAUUAGGGAAGAACAACUGUGUAAGUAACUAUGCACGUCUUGACGGUACCUAAUCAGAAAGCAACGGCUAACUACGUG